UUAAGAUACUAAGAGCAUACGGUGGAUGCCUUGGCGAUAUCUGCCGACGAAGGACGUGACAAGCUGCGAAAAGCUGCGGAGAGAUGCAAAUAAUCGGCGACCCGCAGACAUCCGAAUGGAGAAAUCCGGCUGUGAUGAUGCACAGCCAUCCAUGCCCAAGAGCAUGAGAAGGGAACCGGGCGAACUGAAACAUCUAAGUAGCCCGAGGAAAAGAAAUCAAACGAGAUACCCCAAGUAGCGGCGAGCGAACAGGGAAGAAGCCCAAACCGGUGAAGGAAACUUUACCGGGGUUGAGGACCAUCAGACCCGCGAAGAACCUUAGCCGAAACUGUUGGGAAACAGUGCCGAAGACAGUGAAAGCCUGGUAGGCGAAAAAGAGAAACGCGGAGAUGGCACCGGAGUACCGCGGGACACGAGAAAUCCCGUGGGAAGCAGGGGGGACCACCCUCCAAGGCAAAACACAGAUAUCGACCGAUAGCGCAUAGUACCAUGAGGGAAAGGUGAAAAGCACCCCGGGAGGGGAAUGAAAGAGAACCUGAAACCGUAUGUUUACAAGCAGUCGGAGACCGCUUAAUAAUAAGGUCGACGGCGUGCCUAUUGAAGAAUGAACCGGCGAGUUACGAAGCCUGGCAAGGUUAAGCAGGAAAUGCGGAGCCGAAGCGAAAGCGAGUCUUAAGAGGGCGCAAGUCAGGAAGCGUAGACCCGAAACCACAGUGAUCUACCCAUGUCCAGGUUGAAACACAGGUAAAAAUGUGUGGAGGACCGAACCUAUAUCCGUUGAAAAGGGUUAGGAUGAGGUGUGGGUAGGGGUGAAAUUCCAAUCGAACGUGGAGAUAGCUGGUUCUCCCCGAAAUAGCUUUAGGGCUAGCCUCAGGGAAAAGAUUGCAGGCGGUAGAGCACUGAUCAGGAGAGGGACCUACCCGGUUACCAAACCCAGUCAAACUCCGAAUGGCUGCAAUCAUACCUGGGAGUCAGACUGCGACUAAUAAGGGCCGUAGUCAAAAGGGAAACAGCCCAGACCAUCAGCUAAGGUCCCCAAUGCCGUGCUAAGUGGCGAAGGAUGUGGCAUUUCAUAAACAACCAGGAUGUUGGCUCAGAAGCAGCCACCAUUUAAAGAGUGCGUAAUAGCUCACUGGUCGAGAGACGCUGCGCCGAAAAUGUCCGGGGCUCAAGCACGGAACCGAAGCUAUGGCAUGAUAGCAAUAUCAUGGGUAGGGGAGCGUUCUUAUAAGGAAGAAGAUGACCGGAAGGACAUGUGGACGAAUAAGAAGUGAGAAUGCCGGUAUGAGUAUCGAAAAGAAAGGUGAGAAUCCUUUCCACCGAAAGCCCGAGGGUUCCUGAGCAACGAUCGUCGACUCAGGGUAAGUCGGGACCUAAGCCGAGGCGAGAAGCGUAGGCGAUGGACAACAGGUUGAAAUUCCUGUACCGGAUCAAGUCGAUCGAGCGAAGGAGCGACGCAGGAGGGCACAUGAUCGCGCGGCUGGAAGAGCGCGUCCAAGUGCGUAUGUUGCAGCAGAGGAAAACCCCUGCAGCUAAAAGCAGAGACAUGAUGGGGAGUUAAAGGAAACUUUGACGAACUCAUGGAUCCCACACUGCCAAGAAAAACUUCUAGCGAGACAAGAUCCGCCCGUACCGUAAACCGACACAGGUAGGCGGGGAGAGAAUCCUAAGGUGCGCGGGAAAACCCUCGUUAAGGAACUCGGCAAAUUGCAUCCGUAACCUAGGGAGAAGGAUGGCCCCCGGUCAGUGAAGAGCAGAAACGCUCAGAGCUAAAAGGGGCGGCAGAAAAGAGGCCCAAGCAACUGUUUACCAAAAACACAGGUGCCUGCGAAAGCGAAAGCUGAAGUAUAGGUGCUGACGCCUGCCCGGUGCCGGAAGGUUAAGGAGAGAAGUUAGCGAAAGCGAAGCAUCGAACUGAAGCCCCGGUGAACGGCGGCCGUAACUAUAACGGUCCUAAGGUAGCGAAAUUCCUUGUCGGGUAAGUUCCGACCCGCAUGAAAGGCGUAAUGAUUUGGGCACUGUCUCAACGAGGGGCCCGGUGAAAUUGAAAUACCUGUGAAGAUGCAGGUUACCCGCGACUGGACAGAAAGACCCCAUGGAGCUUCACUGCAGCUUGAGAUUGAAUCCCGGUGACAGAUGCACAGGAUAGGUGGGAGGCGCCGAAGCAUUGCCCUAGGGCGGUGCGGAGCCGAUGUUGGGAUACCACCCUUCUGUUGCUGAGAUUCUAACGCA
rnacentral:rRNA from 1 species